UACGGAGGGUGCGAGCGUUGUCCGGAAUUACUGGGCGUAAAGCGUGCGCAGGCGGUUCGUUGUGUCGGCGGUGAAAGCCCCGGGCUUAACCUGGGAAUGGCCGUUGAAACUGGCGAACUGGAGUGUGGCAGAGGGGGGUGGAAUUCCGCGUGUAGCAGUGAAAUGCGUAGAGAUGCGGAGGAACACCGAUGGCGAAGGCAGCCCCCUGGGCUAACACUGACGCUCAGGCACGAAAGCGUGGGGAGCAAACAGG
rnacentral:rRNA from 1 species